GAACACCAUACAUAAAACCAGUGUCUUCCCUCAGGUAAGAACACCAUACAUAAAACCAGUGUCUUCCCUCAGGUAAGAACACCAUACAUAAAACCAGUGUCUUCUCUCAGGUAAGAACACCAUACAUAAAACCAGUGUCUUCCCUCAGGUAAGAACACCAUACAUAAAACCAGUGUCUUCCCUCAGGUAAGAACACCAUACAUAAAACCAGUGUCUUCCCUCAGGUAAGAACACCAUACAUAACACCAGUGUCUUCCCUCAGGUAAGAACAC